rnacentral:rRNA from 1 species
UUAAGCGACUAAGCGUACACGGUGGAUGCCCUGGCAGUCAGAGGCGAUGAAGGACGUGCUAAUCUGCGAUAAGCGUCGGUAAGGUGAUAUGAACCGUUAUAACCGGCGAUUUCCGAAUGGGGAAACCCAGUGUGAUUCGUCACACUAUCGUUAAGUGAAUACAUAGCUUAACGAAGCGAACCGGGGGAACUGAAACAUCUAAGUACCCCGAGGAAAAGAAAUCAACCGAGAUUCCCCCAGUAGCGGCGAGCGAACGGGGAGCAGCCCAGAACCUGAAUCAGUUUGUGUGUUAGUGGAAGCGUCUGGAAAGUCGCAGGGUACAGGGUGAUACUCCCGUACACUAAAAUGCAUAUUCUGUGAGUUCGAAGAGUAGGGCGGGACACGUGGUAUCCUGUCUGAAUAUGGGGGGACCAUCCUCCAAGGCUAAAUACUCCUGACUGACCGAUAGUGAACCAGUACCGUGAGGGAAAGGCGAAAAGAACCCCGGCGAGGGGAGUGAAAAAGAACCUGAAACCGUGUACGUACAAGCAGUGGGAGCCUCUUUAUGGGGUGACUGCGUACCUUUUGUAUAAUGGGUCAGCGACUUAUAUUCUGUAGCAAGGUUAACCGAAUAGGGGAGCCGCAGGGAAACCGAGUCUUAACUGGGCGUUAAGUUGCAGGGUAUAGACCCGAAACCCGGUGAUCUAGCCAUGGGCAGGUUGAAGGUUGGGUAACACUAACUGGAGGACCGAACCGACUAAUGUUGAAAAAUUAGCGGAUGACUUGUGGCUGGGGGUGAAAGGCCAAUCAAACCGGGAGAUAGCUGGUUCUCCCCGAAAGCUAUUUAGGUAGCGCCUCGUGAACUCAUCUUCGGGGGUAGAGCACUGUUUCGGCUAGGGGGUCAUCCCGACUUACCAACCCGAUGCAAACUACGAAUACCGAAGAAUGUUAUCACGGGAGACACACGGCGGGUGCUAACGUCCGUCGUGAAGAGGGAAACAACCCAGACCGCCAGCUAAGGUCCCAAAGUCAUGGUUAAGUGGGAAACGAUGUGGGAAGGCACAGACAGCCAGGAUGUUGGCUUAGAAGCAGCCAUCAUUUAAAGAAAGCGUAAUAGCUCACUGGUCGAGUCGGCCUGCGCGGAAGAUGUAACGGGGCUAAACCAUGCACCGAAGCUGCGGCAGCGACGCGUAUGCGUUGUUGGGUAGGGGAGCGUUCUGUAAGCCGUUGAAGGUGGCCUGUGAGGGUUGCUGGAGGUAUCAGAAGUGCGAAUGCUGACAUAAGUAACGAUAAAGCGGGUGAAAAGCCCGCUCGCCGGAAGACCAAGGGUUCCUGUCCAACGUUAAUCGGGGCAGGGUGAGUCGACCCCUAAGGCGAGGCCGAAAGGCGUAGUCGAUGGGAAACAGGUUAAUAUUCCUGUACUCGGUGUUACUGCGAAGGGGGGACGGAGAAGGCUAUGUUGGCCGGGCGACGGUUGUCCCGGUUUAAGCAUGUAGGCGGAGGUUCCAGGUAAAUCCGGUACCUUAUUAACGCUGAGGUGUGAUGACGAGGCACUACGGUGCUGAAGUGACAAAUGCCCUGCUUCCAGGAAAAGCCUCUAAGCAUCAGGUAACAUCAAAUCGUACCCCAAACCGACACAGGUGGUCAGGUAGAGAAUACCAAGGCGCUUGAGAGAACUCGGGUGAAGGAACUAGGCAAAAUGGUGCCGUAACUUCGGGAGAAGGCACGCUGAUGGUAAGUGAAGCGACUUGCUCGUGGAGCUGAACUCAGUCGAAGAUACCAGCUGGCUGCAACUGUUUAUUAAAAACACAGCACUGUGCAAACACGAAAGUGGACGUAUACGGUGUGACGCCUGCCCGGUGCCGGAAGGUUAAUUGAUGGGGUUAUCCGUAAGGAGAAGCUCUUGAUCGAAGCCCCGGUAAACGGCGGCCGUAACUAUAACGGUCCUAAGGUAGCGAAAUUCCUUGUCGGGUAAGUUCCGACCUGCACGAAUGGCGUAAUGAUGGCCAGGCUGUCUCCACCCGAGACUCAGUGAAAUUGAACUCGCUGUGAAGAUGCAGUGUACCCGCGGCAAGACGGAAAGACCCCGUGAACCUUUACUAUAGCUUGACACUGAACACUGGUCCUUGAUGUGUAGGAUAGGUGGGAGGCUUUGAAGUGUGGACGCCAGUCUGCAUGGAGCCGACCUUGAAAUACCACCCUUUAAUGGCUGGUGUUCUAACGUAGACCCGUCAUCCGGGUUGCGGACAGUGUCUGGUGGGUAGUUUGACUGGGGCGGUCUCCUCCCAAAGAGUAACGGAGGAGCACGAAGGUUAGCUAAUCCUGGUCGGACAUCAGGAGGUUAGUGCAAUGGCAUAAGCUAGCUUGACUGCGAGCGUGACGGCGCGAGCAGGUGCGAAAGCAGGUCAUAGUGAUCCGGUGGUUCUGAAUGGAAGGGCCAUCGCUCAACGGAUAAAAGGUACUCCGGGGAUAACAGGCUGAUACCGCCCAAGAGUUCAUAUCGACGGCGGUGUUUGGCACCUCGAUGUCGGCUCAUCACAUCCUGGGGCUGAAGUAGGUCCCAAGGGUAUGGCUGUUCGCCAUUUAAAGUGGUACGCGAGCUGGGUUUAGAACGUCGUGAGACAGUUCGGUCCCUAUCUGCCGUGGGCGCUGGAGAAUUGAGGGGGGCUGCUCCUAGUACGAGAGGACCGGAGUGGACGCAUCACUGGUGUUCGGGUUGUCAUGCCAAUGGCAUUGCCCGGUAGCUAAAUGCGGAAGAGAUAAGUGCUGAAAGCAUCUAAGCACGAAACUUGCCCCGAGAUGAGUUCUCCCUGACUCCUUGAGAGUCCUGAAGGAACGUUGAAGACGACGACGUUGAUAGGUCGGGUGUGUAAGCGUAGCGAUACGUUGAGCUAACCGAUACUAAUGAACCGUGAGGCUUAACCU